rnacentral:rRNA from 1 species
UACGGAGGGAGCUAGCGUUGUUCGGAAUUACUGGGCGUAAAGCGCACGUAGGCGGCUUUGUAAGUUAGAGGUGAAAGCCCGGGGCUCAACUCCGGAACUGCCUUUAAGACUGCAUCGCUUGAAUCCGGGAGAGGUGAGUGGAACUCCGAGUGUAGAGGUGAAAUUCGUAGAUAUUCGGAAGAACACCAGUGGCGAAGGCGGCUCACUGGCCCGGUACUGACGCUGAUGUGCGAAAGCGUGGGGAGCAAACAGG